rnacentral:tRNA from 1 species
GCCUGGAUAGCUUAGUUGGUUAGAGUCUGGUGCUGAUGAUACCAAGGUUUCAGGUUUGAUCCCCGUAUGCGGCAGCU